rnacentral:rRNA from 1 species
CGGUAAUACGAAGGGAGCUAGCGUUGUUCGGAAUUACUGGGCGUAAAGGGCGCGUAGGCGGUCUUAUAAGUUUGGUGUGAAAGCCCUGGGCUUAACCUAGGAAUAGCAUUGGAUACUGUAAGACUUGAGACCGAGAGAGGGAAAUGGAAUUGCGAGUGUAGAGGUGAAAUUCGUAGAUAUUCGCAAGAACACCAGUGGCGAAGGCGAUUUCCUGGCUCGGUACUGACGCUAAGGCGCGAAAGCGUGGGGAGCAAACAGGAUUAGAUACCCUGGUAGUCCACGCUGUAAACGAUGAAUGCUAGAUGUUGGGGAUUAAAAUCUUCAGUGUCGUCGCUAACGCAAUAAGCAUUCCGCCUGGGGAGUACGGUCGCAAG